AUGGAUCCCGGCCACGUCCAGCCUGGGCCCCCGCCGCCGGCAAUGGAUCCCGGCCACGUCCAGCCUGGGCCCCCGCCGCCGGCAAUGGAUCCCGGCCACGUCCAGCCUGGGCCCCCGCCGCCGGUAACGGAUCUCGACGACGUCCAGCCUGGGCCUCCGCAGCGAUGGGAGUACAGCCUGCGGAAGUACCUCCUGCUGCUGGCCACCCUGGUGGUCACCGUCACGUACGCCGCGGGGUUCAACCCGCCGGGAGGCGUCUGGCAGGCGGCCCACGACGGCCAGCCCGCCGGCGACCCCAUCAUCCGCUACACCUACUACCACCGCUACCUCGCCUUCUUCUACUGCAACGCCACCGCCUUCGCCGCGUCGCUCGUGGUCAUCGUCCUCAUCCUCAUCCUCGCCAUCCGGCACGACAAGGACGAGAAGGACACCCUCUGGGUCGUCGUGCCCCUGCGGCUCUUCAUGAUGCUGGACCUCCUCAGCCUCAUGGGCGCGUACGGCGCCGGCACCUGCACCUGCCAGGACAAGGUCUCCACCAUCUACUACGCCGUGCUGGUGGCCGCCGUCUUGCUCUACGUCACCGUUCUCAAGUUGGUGGACAGGUGCUGGAAGAUGCCGGCCACCAAUCUCGACUCCUCCGUCCCUGACUCUGACCUCGAGGUGGAGGCCAAAGAAAAACAGGCCCGGGAGAAGAAAGCCGAAGAAAGGCUCUGCAAGGUCCUGAUGCUUCUUGCGAUUUUCGCCGUGAGCAUCACGUACGUCGCCGGGGUGAACACGCCGGGUGGCUUCUGGGACAGCACCGGGGGCAGCCACCACCUGGGCGACGCGAUUCUGAAGGACCACCACAACAUACGCCUGACGGUGUUCUUAUUCUGCAACACCAUGGCGUUCGUGGCGUCCCUGUUCAUCACCAUGCUGCUCAUCAUCGACGGCAAGAAUCUCCACAAGAAGAAGGCUCGGUCUCGCAUGCUCUACGGGUGCAUCGUCGUCGCCCUGGUCGGCCUCGUCGGCGCAUACGCCGCAGGCAGCUGCAGGGAGACCGACACCACUGUCUACGUGCUCUCCCUGGUUGGCGCCGUUGUGGCAUACAUCCUCCUCCAUCGCUUCUGCAGUUCAGCAUCAAGAUUAUUUUCUCGUUGUUUCAGUCCUGAUGAAAAUGAGGACACUGAUGAGAAUAAUGUCAGUGCUAGGGAGGCUCUGGACAAGGCUCGCUCUCUUGUUCUAUUGCUGGCCACUCUUGCCGCCGCCAUCACCUACGCAGCGGGGUUGGACCCGCCAGGUGGCCUUUGGCAGGAUAACAGCAACGGGCACAUGGCCGGCGACCCGAUUCUCCUCACAACGAACCUUGCAAGGUACAGGGCCUUCUACUACUGCAACUCGGUUGCGUUUGUGGCCUCCUUGGUGGCCAUCGUCCUGGUCCAGAAGGAGAAGCUGGUCAAGCACCACGCGCUGGAGGCAGCCAUGAUACUCGUCCUGUUUGGCCUCAUAGGCGCGUAUGCAGCUGGGAGCUGUCGGGACGUGAACAAAUCCAUUUACGCCAUGGCUUUAGCAGGCGCUGUCCUGAUAUAUGUCGUGAUCCAUAUUGUCUUCUUCACGCUGGACCACAAGGACAAGAAAGACGAUGCUAGAGAAGAUCUGUUGCUGGAGAAGAGGCGCAAACGGUUGCUCCUCUUCGCAAUCUUGGCAGCGACCAUCACCUACCAAGCCGGCCUCACACCUCCCGGCGGCUUCCUUCUGCAGGACGACAAGCUCGGGCGGCAUCACGCCGGUGACCCGGUCCUCUUGGACAACUACCCGCGCCGCUACAAUGCCUUCUUCUACUGCAACUCAAUAAGCUUCAUGUUGUCCAUUGCCCUCAUCAUCCUCCUGGUGAACCCCAAUCUGUACAGGCCAGCCAUACGAAGCAAUGCGCUAUCUGUUUGUACAGCGGUGGGCUUGCUUUGUUUGAUGGGAGCCUACGCCACCGGAAGCACGCAACACCUCAAGACAUCCAUCUACAUCAUUGUGUUGGCAGUCGUGGUCCUCCUUGUUGCAGCCGGACUGCUGCUAGUAUUUUUGCUGAAGAGACAUGGCAAUUCCAAAAAAAAUCCGCCCUCCGCACCCAUUAAACAGAAGGACCAAAAGGGAGAAAGGAAGAAGCAUGCAAGGCGCAAGUACCUAAUGCUGCUAGGCAUCUUGGUGGCGAGCGUAGCCUACCAGGCCGGCCUGAAACCGCCUGGCGGAACAUGGCAGAGCAGUGACAGCGGGUACGAGGCAGGCAAUCCGGUGAUGCACGACAACAGGAGGCCCCGGUACCUCGUCUUCUUCUACAGCAACUCCAUCUCCUUUGUGGCUUCCAUCGUUGUCAUCAUCAUGUUGCUACCUCAAUGGCUGCGAAAGGAGCAGCAAGGAGAAUGGGAGAAAUGGUCGCUGAGGGUGAUGAACUGGACGAUCAGACUGGAUUUAUUUGCUCUCCUAGGGGCCUAUGCAGCCGGGUCCAACAGGGGGUGGAAGACGUCCAUGUAUGUCGUCGCACUCAUCAUUGCCGUGCUGGGCUACUUUGUAAUCCACAUGAAGAUUUCAACAUGUCUUGAGCGUCGCCGUAAGAAGCGUGAUGCCGAAGCCGCCAUGGGAAUCAUAGUAUGA
rnacentral:rRNA from 1 species